UNGAGUGCAGAAGGGGAGAGUGGAAUUCCAUGUGUAGCGGUGAAAUGCGUAGAUAUAUGGAGGAACACCAGUGGCGAAAGCGGCUCUCUGGUCUGUCACUGACGCUGAGGCUNGAAAGCGUGGGUAGCGAACAGGAUUAGAUACCCUGGUAGUNCACGCCGUAAACGAUGAGUGCUAGGUGUCAGGCCCUUUCCGGGGCUUAGUGCCGGAGCUAACGCAAUAAGCACUCCGCCUGGGGAGUACGACCGCAAGGUUGAAACUCAAAGGAAUUGACGGGGGCCCGCACAAGCGGUGGAGCAUGUGGUUUAAUUCGAAGCAACGCGAAGAACCUUACCAGGUCUUGACAUCCCGAUGCUAUUCUUAGAGAUAGGAAGUUACUUCGGUACAUCGGAGACAGGUGGUGCAUGGUUGUCGUCAGCUCGUGUCGUGAGAUGUUGGGUUAAGUCCCGCAACGAGCGCAACCCUUAUUGUUAGUUGCCAUCAUUAAGUUGGGCACUCUAGCGAGACUGCCGGUAAUAAACCGGAGGAAGGUGGGGAUGACGUCAAAUCAUCAUGCCCCUUAUGACCUGGGCUACACACGUGCUACAAUGGUCGGUACAACGAGUUGCGAGCCGGUGACGGCAAGCUAAUCUCUGAAAGCCGAUCUCAGUUCGGAUUGGAGGCUGCAACUCGCCUCCAUGAAGUCGGAAUCGCUAGUAAUCGCGGAUCAGCACGCCGCGGUGAAUACGUUCCCGGGCCUUGUACACACCGCCCGUCACACCACGAGAGUUUGUAACACCCGAAGUCGGUGAGGUAACCUUUUAG
rnacentral:rRNA from 1 species